UUAGAUUCAACUAAGGUUUAAUAUUCCAAUUUUACAUCAGCAUUAAAACAUCAAUUAAAGGAUUAUUUAACUUUUUUAUUUAUUUUAAUUAAAUUAUAAGAUCUAGUACUGCCGGAAAUUAAUCAAAUCUUAUUUUUAAAAAUAAUUAAAUAAAAUUUUUGUUUAUGGCGGGUUCAUUUUUCAUUAAAAACAAUAUGUAAAGUCUUUGUUUACCUUAGCAACCCAAAAGUAGUGUGAGGGGAUGAAAAGUAGAUGAGCAAAAUCACCGACUAGAUUUCCACCCCUAUACUAUCCCUAAUGCCAUGGUAACCACUAAAUAGUUUAGUGUAAAUUUUCAGAUUCGGACAGUACUACUUGGGCGGAGCUACUAGUUAGUGUUAGCAACUAGUAAAAACUACUCAUUUCGGAUAAGUCCUUUGUUUACAAUUUUGUCUCUUGAAAUUCAAGACUUGAAUUUACAUUGAUUCAAUUUCUUGUUUUCUAUUCUUAUUACUGUUCUCCUCUGAAUUUUUAGUAAUUUCAGUUUAAUUGUGUGUUGUUUUUGAUGAAUAAUCGAAGAUUGUUUUAAUUGUCCAAACCAAAUUAUCUAUUCCAAUGUCGGAUUCAACCGGGUUUCGAAACCAUUCAUUCUUUGAAUUUACUUCUGAUAAUGAUGAAUACAAAUCUGUUUAUCCUCGUGUAGCAAAUUUAUACCUUCAGAAAAUGUAUGCACUUAACCUCGCCCCAGUACGGGUUGAACCACCUGUCGUAUUGAAUGAGCUUCAGAUCGCAAUGAUAAUGCUACACUUUGGAAACACUACACAUUUAUGUUGGGUACCACGUAUGGAUUGGUUAAUGCUACUCACUGUCGUACAAGCUUUUGAGCGUGAUCGAGGUCAUCGCUGGACAAUUGAGGAAGUUCGACGUGCUUACUAUGAUUUGUGUUCUUGUUUCAAUCUUGUUCUUGAAACUCCAGCCCAAAAGGAACAUGCUAUGAGAGUCUUGGAAAGUCAAAUGGCACAACUUUAAUUUUCUUGUAUGGAUAAUCCAUAAUGGAUUAACUUUCAUUUAUUAUUUAAUACUUUCUUGGUGAUUUUUAUUAUACUUUUUUACAAUCAAAAUCACACAUCAUUAACAAUCAUAAUCAAAAUAUGACCUGAAGUUUGUUGUUGAUCAUCAUCAGAAAUAAAUAAUGACCUCAACCUUUAGUCCUGCCUUAAUUGUGUGUGGUUAGUUUAUUAAGCAAAGUAUAUAAGACGAAAAGAUUUGGUUGUGAAUUAUCACAUUUCAUUUGAAUCUGUUCAUCAAACAACAAGUGGUUUAGUUAACAAAGAAUUUUCUCAAUCAUCAUGAAUUCAAAGAUUUUAAUCAUCUCCCUUAUUCUUGCUGCCACUCUUUUGGUGACUGAAGCCACAUUGAAGAUCACUCUCCAUAAGAAACACAUCAGUUUACCAAUUCCAACCAAAGUUUCAUUGGGUUUAAUUGGUCAUGAUGAUUGGUGGAGUCAACCAUCAUGGUCAUCAUGGCCUUCAUGGCCUUCAUGGGGAUGGGGAUGGGAAGACAAUAGCUGGUGGUAAAUCAUCAACAUCAACAUCAACA